rnacentral:rRNA from 1 species
GAUGAACGCUAGCGGCAGGCUUAACACAUGCAAGUCGAGGGGUAGAGGUUGCUUGCAACCUUGAGACCGGCGCACGGGUGCGUAACGCGUAUGCAACCUACCUUUUACAGAGGGAUAGCCCAGAGAAAUUUGGAUUAAUACCUCAUAGUAUAUAGUCUUCGCAUGUUGACUAUAUUAAAGUUCCAACGGUAAAAGAUGGGCAUGCGUCCUAUUAGCUAGAUGGUAAGGUAACGGCUUACCAUGGCAACGAUAGGUAGGGGUCCUGAGAGGGAGAUCCCCCACACGGGUACUGAGACACGGACCAGACUCCGACGGGAGGCAGCAGUGAGGAAUAUUGGACAAUGGGCGCAAGCCUGAUCCAGCCAUGCCGCGUGCAGGAAGAAGCAUCUAUGGUGUGUAAACUGCUUUUGUACGGGAAGAAACACUCCGACGUGUCGGAGCUUGACGGUACCGUAAGAAUAAGGAUCGGCUAACUCCGUGCCAGCCGCCGCCGUAAUAC